AAGGGAUGCAAGCUGGCCAGGCAGUGGAGGAACACCAAGAAAAGAGUGAUGAUUGAGACAUAGUAUUCUCACUUGGUUUCACACGUGCAGCCGCCAGUUCAGACACUGAGAUUGCAUGCAUCUUAGAGGGCAGGUUAGAGUUAGUACAGGGUGUUGCUGCUCAUGAUGCCAAAGAGGCCAACGACAGAUUGAGAGACUGCUUUGUUCAACAGACUUUCAGCAUCAGCAGUUAUUUGCUUCUGUAAUUCCAGGGAUAUUGUAAUUCCAGAGAUGCAUGCAAAGGUGGAUGCUAGUAACUUCAGACUGCAAACCAUCAAGGCAAAAAUAACUACAACUUUAUUAAUCAUGUAACAAAAAUUGAGAUAGUUACAGCUGCUUGUUUUGCUGCACAAUAUCAAUGUAUUCACUACUUAGCAUAUAUUCUACUGUGAUG